AUUGAACGCUGGCGGCAUGCCUUACACAUGCAAGUCGAACGGCAGCACGGGUGCUUGCACCUGGUGGCGAGUGGCGAACGGGUGAGUAAUACAUCGGAACAUGUCCUGUAGUGGGGGAGAGCCCGGCGAAAGCCGGAUUAAUACCGCAACCGAUCUACGGAUGAAAGCGGGGGACCUUCGGGCCUCGCGCUAUAGGGUUGGCCGAUGGCGGAUUAGCUAGUUGGUGGGGUAAAGGCCUACCAAGGCGACGAUCAGUAGCUGGUCUGAGAGGACGACCAGCCACACUGGGACUGAGACACGGCCCAGACUCCUACGGGAGGCAGCAGUGGGGAAUUUUGGACAAUGGGCGAAAGCCUGAUCCAGCAAUGCCGCGUGUGUGAAGAAGGCCUUCGGGUUGUAAAGCACUUUUGUCCGGAAAGAAAUCCUUGGCCCUAAUACGGUCGGGGGAUGACGGUACCGGAAGAAUAAGCACCGGCUAACUACGUG
rnacentral:rRNA from 1 species